rnacentral:ncRNA from 1 species
AAAACAUAAGGUGCCGGAAACAGUCCGGAUAAUAGGGAAGCGGGUGCAAGUCCUGCGCGAUCUCGUCACCGUAAACUGAGAGUUUAAGCCAAUUUGCCACUGGGAAACCGGGAAGGCGGCUGAAACGCCCGAUCAGUGAGCCGGGAGACCUGCCUUAUGCUG